rnacentral:rRNA from 1 species
UACGUAGGGUGCGAGCGUUAAUCGGAAUUACUGGGCGUAAAGCGUGCGCAGGCGGUUUUGUAAGCCAGAUGUGAAAUCCCCGGGCUUAACCUGGGAAUGGCAUUUGGGACUGCAAGGCUUGAGUGCGGCAGAGGAGACUGGAAUUCCUGGUGUAGCAGUGAAAUGCGUAGAUAUUGGGAGGAACACCGGUGGCGAAGGCGGCCCCCUGGACCGGUACUGACGCUGAGGCGCGAAAGCGUGGGUAGCAAACGGG